GUUGUUAAAGAAGAACCCCUUUGGAGAGUAACUGUUCAAGGGUUGACGGUAUUUAACCAGAAAGCCACGGCUAACUACGUGCCAGCAGCCGCGGUAAUACGUAGGUGGCAAGCGUUGUCCGGAUUUAUUGGGCGUAAAGCGAGCGCAGGCGGUUUUUUAAGUCUGAUGUGAAAGCCUUCGGCUUAACCGGAGAAGUGCAUCGGAAACUGGGAGACUUGAGUGCAGAAGAGGACAGUGGAACUCCAUGUGUAGCGGUGGAAUGCGUAGAUAUAUGGAAGAACACCAGUGGCGAAGGCGGCUGUCUAGUCUGUAACUGACGCUGAGGCUCGAAAGCAUGGGUAGCGAACAGGAUUAGAUACCCUGGUAGUCCAUGCCGUAAACGAUGAGUGCUAAGUGUUGGAGGGUUUCCGCCCUUCAGUGCUGCAGCUAACGCAUUAAGCACUCCGCCUGGGGAGUACGACCGCAAGGUUGAAACUCAAAGGAAUUGACGGGGGCCCGCACAAGCGGUGGAGCAUGUGGUUUAAUUCGAAGCUACGCGAAGAACCUUACCAGGUCUUGACAUCUUCUGCCAAUCUUAGAGAUAAGACGUUCCCUUCGGGGACAGAAUGACAGGUGGUGCAUGGUUGUCGUCAGCUCGUGUCGUGAGAUGUUGGGUUAAGUCCCGCAACGAGCGCAACCCUUAUUAUCAGUUGCCAGCAUUCAGUUGGGCACUCUGGUGAGACUGCCGGUGACAAACCGGAGGAAGGUGGGGAUGACGUCAAAUCAUCAUGCCCCUUAUGACCUGGGCUACACACGUGCUACAAUGGACGGUACAACGAGUUGCGAAGUCGUGAGGCUAAGCUAAUCUCUUAAAGCCGUUCUCAGUUCGGAUUGUAGGCUGCAACUCGCCUACAUGAAGUUGGAAUCGCUAGUAAUCGCGGAUCAGCAUGCCGCGGUGAAUACGUUCCCGGGCCUUGUACACACCGCCCGUCACACCAUGAGGAGUUUGUAACACCCAAAGCCGGUGAGAUAACCUUCGGGAGUCAGCCGUCUAAGGUGGACAGAGUGGGA
rnacentral:rRNA from 1 species